rnacentral:lncRNA from 1 species
CUCCCUUAAUUCCUUUUUCUUGUUCUAUACAGACUGUCCCAGGAUACCUACAUCUCAGCAUUGAGUCAAAGUUAGCACGUUGGAUCUUCCUGUGAACCCAGAAGUAAAAUCGAUGGAAAGACCCCCAAGACAGUGGUUGAUACCUGGAUACAUUCCAUACUCCCAGCUGCUUUUGUGACACCAGUCUCAGAGCCAGUUGCUUUGCAGUAUAAUAAAAAGGAAUUUCCAAGGCUUGGGCUGAUGGGCCAGCACCUGAUCCCCACCGAAACACCUGUGCCUGAGCCAUGUCUCUGUCUACAUGAUUUACCAGCCACCGCCAUUACCCUUCACAAAAAAAGAAUCACCACUGAAAUCAAGGGGAGAAAAUAAACUUGCUUUGGAUGUGGGGCAAUUCAUUUCAUACUUUCAUCAAUAAACAUUUACU